AGAGUUUGAUCCUGGCUCAGAUUGAACGCUGGCGGCAUGCCUUACACAUGCAAGUCGAACGGCAGCACGGACUUCGGUCUGGUGGCGAGUGGCGAACGGGUGAGUAAUAUAUCGGAACGUACCCUGGAGUGGGGGAUAACGCAGCGAAAGUUGCGCUAAUACCGCAUACGAUCUACGGAUGAAAGUGGGGGACCGCAAGGCCUUGCGCUCAUGGAGCGGCCGAUGGCAGAUUAGGUAGUUGGUGGGAUAAAAGCUUACCAAGCCGACGAUCUGUAGCUGGUCUGAGAGGACGACCAGCCACACUGGGACUGAGACACGGCCCAGACUCCUACGGGAGGCAGCAGUGGGGAAUUUUGGACAAUGGGCGAAAGCCUGAUCCAGCCAUGCCGCGUGCAGGAUGAAGGCUUUCGGGUUGUAAACUGCUUUUGUACGGAACGAAAAGGUCUUUUCU
rnacentral:rRNA from 1 species